rnacentral:lncRNA from 1 species
CUCAGGCCGCCGCGGCGGCGCCCGCCCGCAUCUCCAUCCGGGUCCUCGCGCGCUGCUCUCCGGGCGCGGCGGUAGGCAACGGCGGGCGCGAGGUCCGGGCCAUCCUGGCGGCGGCGGCGAGCGGCUUUCCCCGGGAGCCUGAGGUGGGUACGGCGGGCAAGGCAGCGAGCGCGGGGCCGUCGCCAUUUUAUUUCCCUCAGAUUCGCCGCGGCAGGCAGGCAGGAGGGGAGAGUUAUGCACCGGCCCGACGCGGCCUGAAACCCGUGGGACAGCCAGGCGCCCUCCCGUGGACGGGUGGGUCCGAGGUGGGCGGCCAGCGGAGGCUGUGGGUGCCCGGGACGCGGGCGGGGGAGGGGUGCCGCGUGGCCCAGGCGGCGCGGCCCCAGCCCCCUCCGCUUCCCGCCCAGCUCCUUACCGACGGGGCGGGGGAGGGGGUCAUUCUUCACAUUCCUUACCCCGCCCCUCCCCCCGCUUCAAUCAAACUUGGGGCGGGCGGAAGUUCCGCCUUUUGGCUGGCGCCCAUUGGCCUGCGCAGCCUCCUGCUGUGGCGUGACUGGCUGUGGCUGCUGCCAGGUCUUUAUGACGUCACUUCCGCUAUCAGGUUUGUGGGCCGGGGAGACCUUGGCCUUGGGGGUUGGGAUGAAGGAGUGAAGGUAGGAAGUGCUGGGGGAGGGACCGAGCGGGAAGGCGCGGGCGGGAGAGCCGGGGCUGGCUCCUUGCCCCUGCUCCGCUCGGCCGAGAGCCGAGCGGCCUCCGUCCUGGAGCAGCUGCUGCGGCUGGAGGUCCACCGCUGCGGCCGUCCUUGGUGAGGGGGAGGGGAACGAGAGAGCGGGAGGAAAUUCUAUCCCGGGGGAUGGGGUUGGGGAUUUGCUGCUAGGUGUCACCGGAAACGGCUCUGGCCUUUUUGACUCGACGCUGCAAACUCUUGGAACCGAAUGCCUCUCCCAGAGCUGGCCAGUAAACUUCCCCCCGCGCGCUUCUCUGCGAGCGGUGUGGUAACCUUUAUGUCCUUGGCCAGCGCUGCCCUUUUGCUCUUCCAACUUUUUACAGUAGGCUCUGUGUCGGAGGUGGUGGUGUGUAUUCUACUUAAUUUUCAACUUUUGAGAUUAAAAGUAAAAAAUAGACAAAUCAUGAAAGGGUUAGGACGCGGGGGAAAAGACCUUGGAAACCGAGUUAAAAAUCUUGAAGUAAAUAGGAGAUGAAGGCUGAGAUUUCAUUAACUUUAUUGACGACUUUUGCUUUCUUGGUUCUCAGUUCCUAAAAGUUAAAAACAUAAUUUAGCGUCUCCUGAAUUUAUUUCUAUUUGAAAAUCUUGAGAUUUAAGAAAAUUGUUGAAUUCUAAGAAUAAAGUUGUUUUUAUCCAUAUUUUUCUGUUGUGUGGCAGUCUGGUUUCCUUUACACUCAGGGUGUGUGCAUAGUUAAGGAACUAUCAACUUAGGAAUUACUUGGAGUUUAGUGAGGAUGUUUGAUUAUUAUACACAGGUAAAAUGUUAUUUGAAAUGAAAGACCGUUUUAGAGGAGAGACCUAAAUUCAGUUACUACUAGUAUUUAAAAAGUGUCACUUUGAUCAAAUAAAGUUGGUGUUGGGAAAAUAACUUUUUGAAUGAACUGCAGAGACAGUGACAGGUAUAGAGUAUUUGUCUUUAAGCACGCUUUCACCCUCCCUUCACUCCCCCUACCACAUUUGAUUGAAGUUCUGCUGAAUUUGAGCAUUUUGCAAGUCUGAAAAGUUUGAUAACACCCAGUCAUAAAAGAGAAAGAGAUAAAUACUAAACAAGUUUGUCUCAAAUGUUAUUUCUUAGGGCCUUUUUUUCCUUUUUAGCAUUAACUAGACAUUUCUUGGUUUAGAGUACAGCACCUAGAUUGUGUACCUUUAUUUUAAUAGUUAAAAUAGUAAGUACUGGUUUUCCAUACAGUGGGAAUUAGUGUUAGGAGCACUAAAUCGAUGUUUCAUGCUGUAUAUUCUGUCGUUGGGUCAUAAGUCAUUUUAGCGGUUGGUGAUCACAAUUUUAAAAAAUGAAAAUAGUGCAUGAAAUAGAAUGUUGAUUUUUUUCUUAUAUGCAGAUAUGUUCUCACAAGUUAUUUUUGUGUCAGAAUAUUAAAAACAUUCUUUUAAAGGGUAUUUCUCUCAUUAAUAGUACUGGUUGUCUUCAAGGAGUAUUGAAAACAGUCCUGUUUGUUUUUACAUUAAAUGAAACAUGUUCCCCUCACUUGAGUUUUUAUGAGUUGGGGAAUAAAUCCGCCACCCAGGAUCAGCAUGUGUUUCAAUCAUGUACUAUUAUUGUAGCUAUUAGUACUUUUAAUAGCUCAAGAUGCUUUUAUUUAGAUUGUAAAGGAUCUUUUUCAUCCCAGACUAUUAAUUGCCGGGGAUUUUCUUCAUGUUUAGAUGAGAAUUAAAGAUUCUGGAUCCCAAGUAAUAAGUUGUCAACAUUUCCUCGCAUAACCUCACUAGUGGAGUAAAGGAGGCCUGCUCAUUUCAUGCAGUUUCCCUGUGUGUGUGUGUGUGUUCUAAGCAUUGCAUAAUCACUUAAGAGUGGACUUCAUUAAAUAGCCAGAUAGAAUGAGUGCUAUCAUACGUUUUUGGUAUUAAGUCUUUGAAAUCCAGGGUGUAUCUUAACAGUUACAGAACAUAACACUUUGGGCUACUUACAUUUCAGGGGCUCAGUAGCCAUUUGUGGCUAAUGCAAUUUUAGUGGAUUGUCUAGUUUUUUUUUUUUCCAAAAUUAUAUUUCACUAGCUGAAUUUUUACAGUUUAAGAUAGCUAAAAAUGUCCGUUCAAAGCCACCUCUCACAUGUGAGUAAACUGUACCAGAUAAUUUCUUAGGUUCUUUCUGUAUAGCAGAUUGGAGUAUUCUGAGGCACCGGAAUGGCAAUACCUUCUUUGUUAAGUUACUUUUGACUUCUCUAGAAAUAUUUUAAGACAUUUUAGGUAAUUUGUUUUAAAAUGACACAUAGUCAGUAUGAUUUGAGAGCAUUUUGUUCUUCCAAAUAGUCAUUUUUCCUGCAUGUCAGUAUUGCAUUAGCAUCACAUGAGGGAUCAGCCACACCUCUUCCUUCCUUCCAUGGGAAAUUUUAUUUGGCCAAUUAUGUGCUUACCUAAUGCCUAGGAGGAAACUUUUUCUGUGUCAAUUCACAUUUCCACAGUGUUGACUAUGAAUUAUCUGUUGGAUACAGUUAUCAAACACUAAAGUUGACUUGAAUCUAGAUUAAAUGAACUAGAAGCUACCUUCUCUUGUUUUGGAAAUUGUGUAGACUGUACCGAGACUUUUCAGCCUGGGAAAGGAUAGGAAGGGCAGAUUUUAGAAUGGAGAAGUAAUCAUCAGUAAGCAAACAAGUUAUCCAAGUGGCACAUACUACCUCACACAAAAUAUUUGCAAUUAUUUACGGUUUGUAGAAUUAAUUUAGCUAUGCAAGGGUAGUAUGGAAUGUAUUUGUGAUAGUAAGGAAGUCGGUCCAAAAUGAAGAGUUUACAUCUGGAAACUUAGAAAGAAAACUGAAAAUUGACAUUGCAUUGGUUACCUUUUUAACAAUUUUUCAAAAUUUAGGCAUAUUGCUUUAUUAAUCAGCAAAGGCAUCUGAAGUAUCUGUUGUGUGUCUUAAGAGUAAAUGAAAUGGUCCUUUUGGGAAAGCUGACCUAGUACUUAGCUAUUUAAAACUUAACAUGAAUCUGUAGUGUUGCAUAGAAUAAGAAAUCGAGAUACUAGAAUUGGGUUAACUUCCACUGGAGACAGAAAUCUAGAAAACUCCAUUAUCUUGUCAAUAAAACAUGGAUUACUUCCCAUUGCUAGAAAUAAUUGCUUUUGCUUUAUAAAAGGAAGCAAAAUACUAUUGAAGAGUUUCCUUAAUGUUAGAGUAUUCCACAGGCAUCAUUCGUACAUCAUUUCAUUGAUAUUCAGCUAUUUGAAAUUAAAGGAAAUUUAAUUAUAAGUAACCACUGUUUGAUUUGUAUUCGAUUAUCAGCAAGUGAAACUGAUGUUAGAGAUGUAGUUCAUUUUAUGUGUAGGACAGUUUUGCUAAAAUGAAAUUUAUACACCCAUACAAUGGAAUGCGAAUGAAAGCUUUUAAAAAUAAAACUUUCUUGCCCAGCAUGUUCAAGCCCCUGUGUUUAGGCCCUAGUUAAAUAGAUAGGUACAUAAGUAGAUACAAUAAGAAAGAAAGUUUGAGCUAAAAGAAUGUAAACUAAUGUAAAGGGUAGGAAAUUAAACUUCUGGAGAAACAUUUUAGCUCAGAAUUAGAAUUUUUAAUUGCUAUUAAGUAUGUACGAGGUAGUGUAUGCCUGCUUGUGAAUUAAGUUCGAAUAUUUAAGAAUUUAGAAGCAAUUUUAAAAAUCAGGAAUGUUCCUAAAUUUCUCACUACAAAAGAAUAAGUACAUAAGGAAUGUGUAUGUUAAUUAACUUGAUUUAGCCAUUUCAUAAUUGCAUAUUUGAAAACAUGUACCAUAAAAUAAUAUGUGAUUUAUCAAUUUAAAACAACUAAAAAUCAAUUGCAAAAAAAAAAUUAGAAAAGUGAUUGUUAACAGACUUCAUCAUGAAACCAUGUUGAUAAAAAUGUAGAUAUAGACAAAUUUAUUCAUAAUUAAUAAGUAAAUUUGCCUCUUAACAGUUCUAAAUAAAUAACAGUUGUGACUGUCAGUAUAUCUGGGAAGGUAAGGUUACCCACUUAGGACAGUUUUCUCUAAUUAAUUAGAACAGUUGCUGUUUGUUGAUUUAAUUGUGACUCAGUAAGUUGCUUUGCAAUUGUCCUAAUCAAGACCCUAUGAGGUGUGGAUCUUAUAGUUGCCUGAAUGGAGACUAGAGAACUGGCAGGUAUCUCAAGAACACAACCACUAAAUAGCUAUUGAGCCUCAAAGCCUUUGCCCUUAGCACCUUUGUUUUCCUAACCUGCUCAGCUAAAAAUGAGUUUCUUUUGAUACAAUUUGUAUACAUUGAAUUUUUUAUUUUAAUUGCCAUGAUUUUGGCGGGGAGACCUGGGAUUGAACUCAGGGCACUCAACUGGGGAGCCACAUCCCCCAGCCCUUUGUAAAAUUUUAGAGACUGGUCUCACGCCUUGCUUUUGCUGAGGCUGUUGAACUCACGAUUUUCCUGUCUCAGCCUCCUGAGCCACUGGGAUUACAGGUGUGCCCAUUGCGCUGGUCAAUUGCCGUAAUUUUAAUGGGAGGAUAGUUCUAUCUACAGAUUGAGAUAGAAUCCGAAUAAGAAUAGAAGAUGAAUAAAAAGUCUAUCACUUUCUAAGAGUAUCAGGAAAAUCAAUUUUUGAUAGUUCUAGCUAAUAGAUACUUGCCUAGGAAUGUAAACAGGUCUAGGGAUUACAUGGUAUAAAGACAUAAUAAAUGGAGAGCCAGGAUUCAAACCAGGUUCUGGUUCUUAAGUACAGUUUAACCCUAGACAGAAAAAUCACUAAAGAUUUUCAGCUUAACUAUUCAUCCCACUCUCUUUAGUGUUCAAGCAUUGUAUAGUUGUGAUCAGUGUUUGUUAGUUAGGGUUUUUACUUCACUUCACUUUUAAAUGAAUAUUUCCAAUGGGUUCUCAUCCAUAAAUUCUAAGGUAGGAGUUGUAUUCUGUUUUUCUUCACCUCUGGGCACCAAUUCAGUUUGAUUUCUCUAAACUUGCUUAACUGAACGUUGCCUCCCCUAAGCUUUAAUAUUUUUCAACGCUUGCUCUAACUAGCACUUUUUAAACUGCCAUUUUGGAAAUAUUGUAUCAUAAAAUCAAUUUAUGAACAUAAUUAAAUGCAGGAGUAAGGGUUAAUAUUGAUUUGUGAGCAGUAUUUUCUAUUAGUAUUAUGCAGACGUGAGUUAUUUAAAAAUGUUAUUCUUGCUGUGGGUUGUAGAAAGGUGGAUUAACUGCUCUAAUGAAUAGUGAUGUUAUAUAGUAGAUGAUGUUCGUCCCUCAUAAACACCCAUUCUUUUUAUUUUUGUCAUGCUUUGUAAAUAGAUUCUUGUAAAUAGUCCUUGGUAUGUUUGUUAGUGGAUUGUUUUCUAACUGUAUGGUACCUGCUUACAUUGCUGGAUUGUUGGCAAGAUUGAAAAUUAAUGCAUUUUAGAACGUUUCAGAAUUUGGGGUUGGGGAUUUAGUUUAGUGGUAGAGCGCUAAACAUCCAGGAGGGCCUGGGAUUUGAUCCCCAGUACCACAGGGAGAAGGGCGAAAAAAAAAAAAAAAUCAAAUGUGCUUUUUUUGUUUGUUUGUUUUGUCUAGGACCAUGUGCAUGCUUGAAGCUACAUCCCUGGCCUCAAACCUGAUUUAAUUGGAUGAAAGUUGAAUAUUAGAAUAGAGGACAAUGCUGGUUCUGAGGAAAGAUUUUGGCUUUAUAGAUACUUGACUUUUGGGGGGACAGUUGUCUGCAAGUUUAUACUCAAGGUAUAUAACCUGGAUUUCUAGAAUUGGGCUCAGAUAUGGUAUAGCAUGUUUGGAGAUCCUGUGCUGCCUUCUCACUUUUGGGGCAAGUUAUCAAACAGCGCAGCACCAGCUUUCACGUAGAGAUGUUGGAAAGUGGGGCUUAACAUCUGUUGAAUGGUGGUAAAUCAUUCACCUUACAGAUUAUUUUAUGAGAUGUAUUAAUAUUAUAACUAAGAAAGCUGAGGGGCUAGGAAGAUUGAAUUAUUUGUAUAAGGUUUUGGUGGUGGUGAAUAUAGGGGCAGGAUUUGAACUGAUUUUUGUUUACUAGAGUAAUGUUCCUGUGAACAUUUGUCUAGUGUUUGUGUUCAGUUCUCUUGCAUAUAUACUUAUGAAUGUAAUUGCUGGGUCAUAUCGUGAAGUGUUUUUUUAGUCAACAAUAGGUUCUGACCAACACUGAAUCAAUUCUUCACCUCUGGGCACCAAUUCAGUUUGAUCCUGAUACUACCUGGAGUUAGUCCAGACUUUACAAGUUAAGGGCACAGUCCCCAAGACUCCUUCCUUUUCAGGUUCUAGUUUACUUGAAUUUUUGACCAGCUUGCUAUAACUUAAGGGGCUUUGUAUAACCCCCUUCUCCAGGCUUUAUAAUUUUCUAGAAUGGCUCUUAGAACUCAAGACAUUUUUUGGUCUAUCACUGGUUUAUUAUAAAGGAUAGAAAUUAGUAAGAGGUACUCUAAUAAGUGAGACCCAGAAGCAUUCUUGAGCUUAAGAGCUUCUGUCCCUGAAGAGUUGGGAUUGUGUCAUCUUCCUAUCAUGAGGACGUACUUGUCAGCUCAAAUCUGUCUACAUCAUGUCAUUUGGGGGUUUUUAAUAGUGAUUUCAGCACUGGGUCUGAUAGAUUACAUCAGGGGCCAUUGAUUGGCUCUCCAGCUCCUCCCACCUCCCUGAAGGUUGAGAGGUGGGGCUGAACAGUUCAACUUGGUCAUUCUGGUGACCAGUCUCCACUCUGAAACUUGUCCUAGGAGGUUUCAGUCACAUUAACAUUUUGGGGGAGAGUACCCAGGAUUGAAUAUUAACAGAUACUCAACCACUGAGCCACAUCCCUGGCCCUAUUUUGUAUUUUAUUUAGAGACAGGGGCUCACUGAGUUGCUUAGUGGCCCACCAUUGCUGAGGCUGGCUUUGAACUCCUGAUCCUGCCUCAGCCUCCCCAGUUGCUGGGAUUAUAGGCAUGUGACAGCACCCUGCUUCCCUCAUUAGCAUUUUUAAGUCAUCAUUUGGGAGAUUGGAGGAUGUUAGGAGGAGAUUCAUGUCAAGAACACCAAAUGGAAAUAGAGCCAAUUAUGUAUUUCUUGUACCAUAUGUGAUAACAGUUCAUCUCUUUUUUGGAGGGGGAGGGGGUGAUGGUGGUGGUACUAGGAAUUGAACCCAAGAGCAUUCUGUUUCUGCCUCAGAGCUCCAGCAGUUUUAAAAUUUACUUUGAGGUAAGGUCUCCAGGCAGACUUGCCCAGGCAGGCCUGGAAUUUGAGAACCUCAGCCUCUUGAUCUUGAGUAGCAGGGAUUAUGGGUAUGCAUCUUCAUGUCCCAGCUCUGUUUAACUUUUUGCUACUGGGCUUGGAACCUAGAAGUGCUUUACUACUGAGCUACGUCCCCAGUCCUUUUUAUUUUUUGAGGAAGGGUUUCAAUAAGUUGCUGAGGAUCUCCUUAAAUUGCUGGGCUGGGCUCGAAUUUGAGAUCAUCUUCAGCCUCAUGAGUCACAGGGAUUAUAGGUGUGCAGCACCAUGCCUGGCUGUUUCUUUUCAACGAACUGCUGAACUGUUCUUCAGAGCAGUUGUACCAUUUCACAGUUCCCACCAGAAAUCUAGGAUUCCAAUUUUUCCACAUUCUUGCCAGCACAUGGUAACUUUCUGAUUAUUAGCCAUUCUUGUGACUAUAAAGUGAUAUCUCAUUGAUUUGGGGUUGCAUUUCCCUAUUGACUGCUGAAUAUAGACUGUUCAUCAUAGCCUGUAUUCAUAGAUUUGCUAUUUUUGUCUGUAAGCUUUAUCUUCUUUGAAAUAUCUACUAAAUCUAUUAAAAUAUCUAUUAAAUACCUAUUAAAAUUCCAGUAAAUUAGGUAAUUUGUCUUAUGUUUUGUAUAUGGUAUGUUGUGGCGUGGUCAUUCAUUUGUAUUUGGAUAUGCUGUUGUCCUAGCACUAUUUACUGGAAAACUAUUCUUUCCCAGUUGAAUUGUCUUGGUGCGCUAUUGAGCCUGUGCAUAUAGAUUUAUUUCUGGACUUGAUAUUUUACUUCAUUGAGCAUAUCUUUGCUUACAUGUUUGAAAUUUUAAAAUGGGUGUUUUGUUACUAAGUCACUGCCAAAUAAAUUUCUUUCUUAAAUUUGGUGCCUACUUGAAAUCUUUGUGGUAGUUACCUUUUCAGUAUGAAGUCUGUAAAUUGAAGACUAAUAAGUAACAGGUUUUAGAUUAGUUGAGGUAAGAUUUAACAACACUGGUGUCAUGUAGCUUAGCUCAGUUUUGUACAAGUUGUUAAAUAUCUUGUACUCUGUCGGAUCCCAUCCUCACACCACUUUUCUAACUAAAAGGAAGAAUCCUGACCCUGACACAGAUGGGUUGAUUGUCUUUGAUUGUUUUUUGCUAGUAAGAUCAUUUAGUGUUUGCUUGUAUGGAAUAAACAAGUGGUUCCAUUGAAAAUCAGUUUUUCCUUGUGUCUAUUUUUUUUGUCAUUGCUUUGUACAUUAAUGCAUUUGGUCAUGGAUUAUGUAUGAUGUGUAGGGCUUUUAGGUUUUGAGGUAAUUGGAUUUUACCAGAAGCUUUUGUAUUAUUCCUUUGUAACGAUUUUUUGUUUCUCGAAGAUUAAUGAAUUUUUGUUUGCAACAACUAUAUGAAAAUCAAAGACUGAUAAUAUAGGGCAAGUAUUCUUCAUUUGAAAUGCUUGGGACCAGAAAUUUUAUGGAUUUUAGAAUAUUUGUAUAUAUAAUGAGAUUUUGGGGAUGGGAUUCAAGUCUAAAUAGAAAAAUUUAUUUGCUUUAUGUAUACCUUAAAAAUACAGCCUGAAGGUAAUUUUAUACGGUAAUUUUAGUGUGCUUGUUUUGGCUGUUCUUCAGCACAUGAGGUUAAUGUGAAGUUUUCCACUUGUCUCAUUAUGAUGCUCCAAAAGAUUGGAUUUUUGGGUUAGAAGUGCUCAACCUGUGGUUAUGAGAUAUGGUACAAAUGGUGAUUUGAAUCUUAUAAAUAAGUGGAUUCAGGUAACCAAGCAUUUUAAAUAGUAAAAAAAAAUAAAAAGAAGUGAAAGACAGUAUAGAUCAUACAAAAUGUGUACUGAAACUUCAUGUUCAAAUUAAAGGAAUGAAAAGAGGUCUAAUAUUUCUUUUUUUGCCCCAUUACACAGGAAACCAGGAUUACCGAAGAGAAAGCCUUUCCGUGGUGCUCCGCUGUGGUCCUUUUCAACAUUGACCCUGGAUAUUCUCUUCACUGUGGGAUGAGGUAGUAGGUUGUAUAGUUUUAGGGUCACACCCACCACUGGGAGAUAACUAUACAAUCUACUGUCUUUCCUAAGGUGAUAGAAAAGUCUGCAUUCAGUCAGCCUUACGGAAAGUUAAUAACUAGUUGUUCAGUGUUUAAAAUUAAUUUGUCUAAAAAAGAAUCUUUCAUUAUUUCCUAGAAAAGUCUUUACCAGGUAGACAAGGUAGAAAUGGGGCUACUUUUUGCUUAUCUCAUUUCUGUGUCGGAAUUAUGUUUUGUUUUGAUUGAUGCUGAUAAUUUUGUGUGAACUUUUCUUUUGAAAGAAAUUGUGCUCUUCAUUCCAGAGGAAAAGAUUGCUCUAUCAGAGUGAGGUAGUAGAUUGUAUAGUUGUGGGGUAGUGAUUUUACCCUGUUCAGGAGAUAACUAUACAAUCUAUUGCCUUCCCUGAGGAGUAGACUUGCUGCAUUAUUUUGUUUUUAUCUAGAUGAUGUUAAAGCUUGGAUGAAUUUUGACUCUUGUAUUUACAGUUGUCAGUUGUUAAUUUUCACCCUUCAAGUAGAGUACAGUAGUAGACACUGAUUUAUCUUUUAAUUUUCACAUGAUAUAUUUCAGAAAUUUGAAAUUAAGCAAAAAUCUCUGGAGAAAUGUACCUUUCAGGAAAUUUUUAAAAGAAGACCAAACCCUUUUAGGAUGUUCCUUGCCCUACAUUCUGGUAUAUAUGUCUAGAGUGAGCUUUAGCUUGGUAUAAAGGUACAUACUAACUGUAAGGGCACUGUUGGAGCUAAAUUUGAGUCAGGUUGAUUAUUUCAUUCCUAGUCUGGGGUUUUGAGUAGCUUUGGAGAAUACUAAUAUAAGCACUACCUCAUUGGUGUAUUGACUUGGACAGAAUUUAUUCACUAUCCUGAAAAGGGGGAGAUGGACUUUGGGUUCUGCUUUUGUUCCCUGGCAAGUUGCUAAGAAAAACUGAAGUGGUUCUUUAUUCCAAAACUGUUAGGUAGGAAAGUGUGUGUGUUGCUUAAAAAAAAAAAAAGACAAAUAUUAGAAAAAAACAUUGAAUUUGUUUUAACAUCCAUAAAGGCCCAUAUUUCAGCUUUCUUCUGGUGGCCAACCCAUAUGCUUCCUUGGAUAUUAUAGUCAAGCAAGACUAAGAACUCCAUUUUAAAUGCUUGCUCUUUAAACAAUUUUAUUUUGAGGAAGAGAGGGGAAAGAGGAAAAAUGUGACAGUGAGGGAGAAAUCUUCUUUUCAAAGAUAUUUCCAUUUAGUAUCUUAGCAUCUUGGAUGAUUACCAUGCAUUACCAUUGGUGGUGGGAACUUUAGAGGAAACAUGAAAACUCUUGGAUUGGUCAAAUCUAGAUGUUUUGUCCUGAACCAAUAUUUAUGCUUAUUUCAUCCCUGGCAUGUUUGUUCUUGUUCCAAAUUGGAUGUGUAAACACUGGAGGGAAACAAAUUGCUAAUAUGCAUCACCCACCUGCUGAGUAUGUGACAAGUACAGUAGUGGAAUUUUACGGUUUUCUGUUAAGUGCCCCUCCAAUGUGGAUAUCUACUGCUCUGAACUUGGAAACUUCACUAAGGUCUGGAGAAAAUUGUGUUUAUAUUAUCGAUUAUGUUAGGGCCUAUUUCAAUAUCAUUAUUAUUAUUUUUUUUUUUAGAGAGAAGUUUUUUUAAUAUUCAUUUUUUUUUUUUUUUUUUUGGCGGACACAACCUCUUUGUAUGUGGUGCUGAGGAUCGAACCCGGGCCACACGCAUGCCAGGCGAGCUUGCUACCGCUUGAGCCACAUCCCCAGCCCUCAAUAUCCUUAUUAGCUAAGCAGAGAAAGUGGAUCAGAUUGUGAAGAACUGAUAUAUUUUGUAAACAUAAUUUAAAAAGGAACCUUUAUGGAGACUGUGGCAGACUCUAAAAGCUUUUUAAUGGCAGCAAAAAUGAUGACCAUAGUGCUUCUGUUUACUGUAAUUCAGGGGUGAAGAAGGGACUAACUGGAUGUAAUUCUGAAAUGUGACCUCUCAAGUCAUAAUUUCCUCCAGUUGAUAGGUGGCAAACAGGAUUUAUAUACAAUAUUUAAUCAAGAGAGGCUGGAGGUUUUAUGAAAUUUGAUCUUUGAAUCUUGGUAAUUAAAUGUCUAAAGUAAUCCCAAGUAACCAUAAACAAAACAAAAAAAUUUAAAUAAAAAGCUGAGGCUCUAGUAUGUGGUAGGUUGAGUUAGAGGUCUGGCUUGUAUUCUUUGAUGUAAUUACUUUCUUCUUUUUAACUUGAGGUUUGUUUUUAAGCAAGUACUGUUUUGGCUUAUAGAAAAGCCAUACAGUCAAUAACUUUAAAAGCAUUAGUGAAAGAAUUCUAGUUGGUUGUGUUUGAAACAAGAUUGAAAGAAUAUGGCCUAAUUUAACUGGGUAUUUUGAUGUGCACCUGCCAAAUAGAAGAUCAGCAAGAAUAAAAUGGGUUCCUAGGAAGAGGUAGUAGGUUGCAUAGUUUUAGGGCAGGGAUUUUGCCCACAAGGAGGUAACUAUACGACCUGCUGCCUUUCUUAGGGCCUUAUUAUUCUACGGUGCCCUGUUUCCUUGUUACUUAUUCAGGUGUAAGCAGACUUCUUACUGCAGGUUUUCUCAAAUGAAAACAUUGCAGGAAUACAAAAGACAGUAGUGUUUGCAUUAGUGUCCUGUAAUUGCAACAUGGUGCCAACAUUAAUUACUGACAGUCAACUAAAGAGAAUUUGAGAAUUGUGAAAUAUACUUAGUUGCUUUUGUGUUUCACUUUGGUCACUGGAAGGUUUUGGAAAGCACCCCCCUCUCCCCCCCGCCCUCGCUUUCCCCCCCCCCCUCAAAUUUCCCUUUCUCUAACACCUAGGUCACUGUCAGCUAUUCCCCUCUCUGUAGCCACCACAUAUGUCUGAAGAGAAAGCAUUUAACAAAAUGUUGAAAUAUUUUUCUAUUUCUUUCAUUGUGUUUGUGAAUGCCUUACAAAGUUUCUGGGUUUCUUUUGUCUUCUGGAUUUAAAAUUUGAGGCCAUUCUUAAGAUGGUAUUUCAUAGUGUGGGACUUGAUGAUCACAUUGAGCUGCUUAUUAUAUAUGUAACCUUGUGAUUGAAUCUGUUAAAUGAAUGCAAGAACUAGAAAAUUAUUCAGGUACUUGAAUGAAAAUGUUUAUCAUGAUAGUGGAGUUAUAAUAAUUUAAGACAUACCUUCUCAAUAAAAAUAUUACAUAAUCUAAAGCUCGUGCUUUUAAAAUCAUUCUUAUUCUACUACAUACUUGCUAACUUUGCCGUUGUUGAAGUACUAAUUCUGUAUUUAAAUUUAUUUUAGGAUUUGUUAAAUUUCAUUUUUCAUAAAUGCACAUUUGAUGAUUGUAUUAUCAUUCACAUAUAAAUAAAGCUAACUGAAGCGAUAUCUAGCUCUUGCGUUUUUGUUAACUAUUGUGACUUUAUCCAUACAACUGUAUUUGCCGGUACACCCUGCUUUCUUUACUUAAU